GAUGAACGCUGGCGGCGUGCCUAAUACAUGCAAGUCGAGCGAACAGACGAGGAGCUUGCUCCUCUGACGUUAGCGGCAGACGGGUGAGUAACACGUGGAUAACCUACCUAUAAGACUGGGAUAACUUCGAGACACCGGAGCUAAUACCGGAUAAUAUAUUGAACCGCAUGGUUCAAUAGUGACAGCCGGUUUUGCUGUCACUUAUAGAUGGAUCCGCGCCGCAUUAGCUAGUUGGUAAGGUAACGGCUUACCAAGGCAACGAUGCGUAGCCGACCUGAGAGGGUGAUCGGCCACACUGGAACUGAGACACGGUCCAGACUCCUACGGGAGGCAGCAGUAGGGAAUCUUCCGCAAUGGGCGAAAGCCUGACGGAGCAAUGCCGCGUGAGUGAUGAAGGUCUUCGGAUUGUAAAACUCUGUUAUCAGGGAAGAACAAAUGUGUAAGUAACUAUUCACGUCUUGACGGUACCGAAACAGAAAGCACCGGCUAACUACGUG
rnacentral:rRNA from 1 species